rnacentral:tRNA from 3 species
GCCCUCGUCGUUCAACGGAUAGGACGCAGCUUUGCGGAAGCUGUAAUUGAGGUUCGAUUCCUCACGAGGGCA